GGAUAUGAAGGUGAUCUGGCUGUGAUAUCUGUCACCCCAUUGACUGCCAGGGUUGAUUCUGCUGAUCUGGCUGGCUAGGCGGUGUCCCCUUCCUUCCUCACAGCUCUGUGUGUGUCUCUGAUGAAGCUGCAUUCCUGGUGGUAGAGAAUGACCACCCCAAUAGAGGAGGACCAUUUCUUCCGUCAAGGGUCUAUGAGUAACUGCUCUUCCCCACUAGGACCUCCAAAAAAGCUCUCAAGUUCCAUUUACUUAGGUAUACUUAAGUAUACCUAAGUCUUUCUU
rnacentral:snRNA from 1 species